UACGUAGGGGGCAAGCGUUGUCCGGAUUUAUUGGGCGUAAGCGCGUGUAGGCGGCCAGGUAGGUCCGCUGUGAAAACCCGAGGCUCAACCUCGGGACGUCGGCGGAAACCAUUUGGCUAGAGUCCGGAAGAGGAGAGUGGAAUUCCCGGUGUAGCGGUGAAAUGCGCAGAUAUCGGGAAGAACACCCGUGGCGAAGGCGGCUCUCUGGGACGGUACUGACGCUGAGACGCGAAAGCGUGGGGAGCGAACAGG
rnacentral:rRNA from 1 species